AUUUGGUCUACUUAGCCAUAUUUCUCAAGUGUUCUCUCAUCAUAUGGGCUGACAAGAUAGAGGAGAGUCCCCUUAGGCGUGUGUCAUGAAGAGAGAGGCGCAAGUUGGCGCCCCUCCUACUUUGCUUGGGAAUCCUUAUGUUUUAGGAAGUUUGGAUUUGAUUCAAAUAUGGAGAGUCCUAUUCCUAAUAUAUGAAAAUUUUUGAUUUGAUUUAAGACCUCUUAUCUAUUUAAGGA
rnacentral:lncRNA from 1 species